AGAUCACUUCCCUUUCCUUUGUCUCUUCAAACGGGAGCGCGGCAUGGCGGAAGACUAAACACCGCUGAAUGCUGGUAAACCACAUAGAAUCAAUGGAAAAAAAGACUCCCGCGUUCACGGGCGGUGAGUUUAACGUCAGUUAUCGUCGUUAGUAUUUGUUGUUAUUAUCAAUAAGUCAUGAAGCUCCGCACAAACAGCGGCGAGCGCACAUAGACCAAACCCCAUUAGGAAAAAUGACAAUUUAAUACCUGGCGUCUCUGUACACGAGAGGCUAUUUCCUGUUUGAUUUUUGGUGAAGGUUGAUUUUGUGGUUGUUUUUGUUGCCGGUUUUUUCACUUUCCUCUUGUAGAGUUAAUUUAUUAUGGUUAUUUUGGAAUCUUCAUGUAAGGUUAAUUUGAAUGAAUAUUAUUUAAUUAUUUAAACAUCCAUUGGAGUUCAUGGACUGUGUUGUUGUAUUGUUGUUCAGGGACUUAUUUCUUUCUUUCUUUCUUUUUUUUUUAUGAACCUCAGAUAAGUUUUUUUUUUACCCUUUUCAACUUCCGAACUAAGAUGGCGAGCAAACUGGAGAUGAACCGCCACCUCACUCAACUUAAGUGGUAGGACAAAAUAUUUAGACUGAAACAUAGAAAUUGAUAGAUUUUUUCACAUUCUUGGCUCCAUAGAUGAACCCAAGUUAUCACAGUUUCUUUAAUUAAUUUCAUUUUAAGGUCAGUGUCGAAUUAACACUUUUUCCACGUGACACUCACCUCCAGGACCGACCUGAGCUUCCCUGCUGCUAUGUCCGCUGUCUCUUCAGAACUCAAAGUAACAUCCUCUUUCCUCCCUGUCUCUUUCACCAGUGGCGUGCACAGACAUUUUGGGGGGCAGGUGCUCAGUGGAAAAUAAGGGCACUUUAUGCGGCAUGUAGAACUGACGGCUGCUUUAUUAUAGCAGUGUGAGAUCUGAAAAAUAAAUCAACAUUACAGGC